rnacentral:rRNA from 1 species
AAGUACCUACGGGGGGCAGCAGUAGGGAAUCUUCCACAAUGGGCGAAAGCCUGAUGGAGCAACGCCGCGUGGGUGAAGAAGGUCUUCGGAUCGUAAAACCCUGUUGUUAGAGAAGAAAGUGCGUGAGAGUAACUGUUCACGUUUCGACGGUAUCUAACCAGAAAGCCACGGCUAACUACGUGCCAGCAGCCGCGGUAAUACGUAGGGAGCAAGCGUUAUCCGGAAUUAUUGGGUGUAAAGGGUGCGUAGACGGGACAGCAAGUUAGUUGUGAAA